UACGGGGGGGGCAAGCGUUGUUCGGAAUUACUGGGCGUAAAGGGCUCGUAGGCGGCCAACUAAGUCAGACGUGAAAUCCCUCGGCUUAACCGGGGAACUGCGUCUGAUACUGGAUGGCUUGAGUUUGGGAGGGGGAUGCGGAAUUCCAGGUGUAGCGGUGAAAUGCGUAGAUAUCUGGAGGAACACCGGUGGCGAAGGCGGCAUCCUGGACCAACACUGACGCUGAGUGAGCGAAAGCCAGGGGAGCAAACGGG
rnacentral:rRNA from 1 species